AUAGGGGAGCCGGAGGGAAACCGAGUCUUAAUUGGGCGUUAAGUUGCAGGGUAUAGACCCGAAACCCGGUGAUCUAGCCAUGGGCAGGUUGAAGGUUGGGUAACACUAACUGGAGGACCGAACCGACUAAUGUUGAAAAAUUAGCGGAUGACCUGUGGCUGGGGGUGAAAGGCCAAUCAAACCGGGAGAUAGCUGGUUCUCCCCGAAAGCUAUUUAGGUAGCGCCUCGUGAAUUCAUCUCCGGGGGUAGAGCACUGUUUCGGCUAGGGGGCCAUCCCGGCUUACCAACCCGAUGCAAACUGCGAAUACCGGAGAAUGUUAUCACGGGAGACACACGGCGGGUGCUAACGUCCGUCGUGAAGAGGGAAACAACCCAGACCGCCAGCUAAGGUCCCAAAGUCAUGGUUAAGUGGGAAACGAUGUGGGAAGGCCCAGACAGCCAGGAUGUUGGCUUAGAAGCAGCCAUCAUUUAAAGAAAGCGUAAUAGCUCACUGGUCGAGUCGGCCUGCGCGGAAGAUGUAACGGGGCUAAACCAUGCACCGAAGCUGCGGCAGCGAACGUAUCACCCAAGACAACUUUACGGAGUUGACGAUUGACGGAGCGAAGCGACGUCAAAGCGUUCAUUAAAGUCGAGUUGGCUUAGGGAUACGUUCGUUGGGUAGGGGAGCGUUCUGUAAGCCUGUGAAGGUGUGUCGUGAGGCAUGCUGGAGGUAUCAGAAGUGCGAAUGCUGACAUAAGUAACGAUAAAGCGGGUGAAAAGCCCGCUCGCCGGAAGACCAAGGGUUCCUGUCCAACGUUAAUCGGGGCAGGGUGAGUCGACCCCUAAGGCGAGGCCGAAAGGCGUAGUCGAUGGGAAACGGGUUAAUAUUCCCGUACUUGGUGUUACUGCGAAGGGGGGACGGAGAAGGCUAUGUUGGCCGGGCGACGGUUGUCCCGGUUUAAGCGUGUAGGUGUGUGUUCCAGGUAAAUCCGGUUCACUUUAACACUGAGGCGUGACGACGAGGCACUACGGUGCUGAAGCAACAAAUGCCCUGCUUCCAGGAAAAGCCUCUAAGCAUCAGGUAACAUCAAAUCGUACCCCAAACCGACACAGGUGGUCAGGUAGAGAAUACCAAGGCGC
rnacentral:rRNA from 1 species